CUCUAUUGUACCACAGAGUGUGUACAGUAUGGGUAGCAACAGUGCAAGCUUCCCACACUUUGCCCCCUCAAUGCACUCCAACCCCAUCCAGAAUAGCUCUCUCCAUAGAGAG
rnacentral:sRNA from 1 species